AAGCUUUUUAUUCAAGUAUGAUUUUAGAUUGCAAAUUUAAAGGUGAGUUAUUUUUCGUAAGCU
rnacentral:tRNA from 1 species